UGCAAAUUUGGUGUAUAUUGAGUGUGAAUUUAUAUAUUUGCGCUAAUGUCAAUUCAGAGUGAUUUCAUUGCAAAAAUAGAAUUUGCUAAAUAUAUCACACAUGGCGCAAUUUUAGUACCGAUUUUCAAAAAGGCACUCGUUUCGAAUUUACGGCAAAUUUCAUGCAAAUUCCACAUUUGCACAAAUAUUCACAUACCGUUUCGUAUUUGCACAUUAAGGCCUGAUUCCACGAGCGCUUUUUCUGGCCGAAAUGCGAAUUAUUUCGCCCGUUUCUUUUGAAUUGCGACUACUCGAAUAAAUUAUUUCUAUACUUGAUUGCUCACAAUUCAAAAGAAACAGGCGAAAUAUUUCGCAUUUCGCCGAGAAAAAGCGCCCGUGGAAUCAGGCCUUUAGAUGUGUUUAUAGAAUCUACAGAACCGCAGUUAUUUUAUUGGUUUGAAAUAUUAUGCUGUAGUGUUAGCGAGAGACGUAAAUUCAGGUGAAUUUCAGUUUAUAAGUAAGAGUUAUAAACCGAGAAGGAGGUUUAUAAUUAUAGUUAUUUAAUAGUAUAUGCACACAAUAUAUACAGAACAUAUAUUAUAAUGAAAGCUAUACGUAUACAGUAUAACAAACGCAAAAGGCCAUCAAACAGGUUUAUUUCUUAGCUGGAAUGCUUUUUAAGCGUAAGCGCAAGCAUAAGCACACGCAUAAGGAACGAAACGUUUUGAUUCGGCUUUACCGUUUAUCCACUCUUAACCUAGGCCUCGUUUAUUCACUUUUAACCUAGACCUGAAAGUUGAAAGUUGUAUUCCCCGUGUUUCCUACACAAUAUAUUUGUUUCUCGCUGAUCCUUAGUUCAAGAAUAAGUAAGUUCUUAUCUUACGUGCAUGAAACAUGAAUAAAUACAUGAGAAUAAUACGAGGUCGGUCAGAAAUGAAUAAACAGUAAGGUAUAUAUAACAUAAUAGCCUAAUUAAUACGAAACUCUGCAUGCGUCCGUUUCUUAAAUUACUUUUCUGACCGCAACAUGAGCACGAGCUAGUAUAUAAGCAUAACCAUAAGCACAAGAAUUAAUCCGUUCCUACAAAUCACUCUUGAUAAUAUCGUGGUGAAAGCAAUAAUACUGUCUUGGCCAACAUAAGGACAAUUACAGUAUGUUCGAGCAUAUGCUUAUACACAGCAAAAAAUCAUUUUCUUAUUUUAAGAAAAAAAAACUUGUUUUAAGAAAAUUUUCUUGAAAUAAGAAAAUAUUUUC